GUAUACUCGACCACCCGGCCACCUGUUUACUCGACCACCCGGCCACCUGUUUACUCGACCACUCGGCCACCUGUUUACUCAACCACCGUCCACCUACUUACUCGACCACCCGGCUAUCUGGCCACUACUAAUGCACCUCAAAGGCCACUUAACCAGUGUAAGUGUGAGCGUGUUGACCCCUGUUACUACGACUACUGCUGCUGGUGACGUAACCCCUCUACCGACACCACCACCACCACAACAACAAAUAUCUCCAGAUUUACGAAGAUUUUAAACACUGAUUUUGUCCUGAAAUGCAUCCAGAUAAGGUGAGCGAGUUUGUCGAAGGUUGGAUAUUUACUCGUUACGUGACGUCACACCUCAGCACACCUGUACCUCACACAUGACAGAAAUCAGCUGAUCACGAACCCACGAGCUGACGGGCGGACGACUCCAGCUGACCCAGACACGGAGGGUGCAGGGAGGUAACCUCAGCCUCAUUGGUGCAGAACGUUGGAUAGUUUAGAUUCCCCUCCAUACCUUCACGCAGUAAACCACAGCAAAACUAGUAAUUGAACACAUCCAUAUCAUUUGUUACGCCUUGAUACCAGCUGUCCCCUUAGCACCAGCUGCGCCACCCGGGAGAGUCGCUAAGCAGUUACAUCACCCAGACCAUCUUUGUGUCGUUCAUCGUAGCUGGCAUUAUGGCAAUGGUAUGCAGAGCUAGCUGUUUCUGUGAGGCUACCAAGGAUUGUUAUUCGAGAGCGUCAAAAUCCUUUUGUUUAUCUCUCUGAGGAGGAGUUCAUCAGAAGGUAUAGGCUGUCCAAGGAAUACAUCCAUGAACUUCUUGAACGAGUUAAGCCACAUAUGCCGAGAGUUAAAGAUGGACGACGCAAGAAAUUCUGAUGCUACUAUAGUGUGUGGUCUACAAGAUAUUUUGGUUAAGUUAGCUUAAGUAAAGUAAAGUAAGGUUAGACUAAAGCUAUUUGUGUUGACCGAAAUUCUAAACCUUGGAUUUUGGUAUUUGUUUAGAACUGUAUUGGGUAUUUAUUAAAUAGUUUCAUAGCUUGA